CCUACGGGAGGCUGCAGUGGGGAAUAUUGCACAAUGGGGGAAACCCUGAUGCAGCGACGCCGCGUGAGUGAAGAAGUAUCUCGGUACGUAAAGCUCUAUCAGCAGGGAAGAAAAUGACGGUACCUGCCUAAGAAGCCCUGGCGAACUACGGGCCAGCAGCCGCGGUAAUACGGAGGGGGCAAGCGUUAGCCGGAUUUAAUGGGGGGAAAGGGAGCGUAGACGGCAGCACAAGUCUGGAGUGAAAUCCCGGGGCUUAAUCCCGGAAGUGCAUUGGAAACUGGGCGGCUGGAGUGCAGGAGGGGUAAGCGGAAUUCCUAGUGUAGCGGUGAAAUGCGUAGAUAUUAGGAGGAACACCGGUGGCGAAGGCGGCUUACUGGUCUGUAACUGACGUGGAGGCGCGAAAGCGUGGGGAGCAAACAGGAUUAGAUACCCUAGUAGUC
rnacentral:rRNA from 1 species